rnacentral:rRNA from 1 species
GAGUUUGAUCGUGGCUCAGGACGAACGCUGGCGGCGCGCCUAACACAUGCAAGUCGAACGGAGCUGUUUUCUCUGAAGUUUUCGGAUGGAAGAGAGUUCAGCUUAGUGGCGAACGGGUGAGUAACACGUGAGCAACCUGCCUUUCAGUGGGGGACAACAUUUGGAAACGAAUGCUAAUACCGCAUAAGACCACAGUGUCGCAUGGCACAGGGGUCAAAGGAUUUAUCCGCUGAAAGAUGGGCUCGCGUCCGAUUAGCUAGAUGGUGAGGUAACGGCCCACCAUGGCGACGAUCGGUAGCCGGACUGAGAGGUUGAACGGCCACAUUGGGACUGAGACACGGCCCAGACUCCUACGGGAGGCAGCAGUGGGGAAUAUUGCACAAUGGGGGAAACCCUGAUGCAGCGACGCCGCGUGGA